UACGGAGGGAGCUAGCGUUGUUCGGAAUUACUGGGCGUAAAGCGUGCGUAGGCGGUGACUCAAGUCAGAGGUGAAAGCCUGGAGCUCAACUCCAGAACUGCCUUUGAAACUAGGUCGCUAGAAUCACGGAGAGGUGAGUGGAAUUCCGAGUGUAGAGGUGAAAUUCGUAGAUAUUCGGAAGAACACCAGUGGCGAAGGCGGCUCACUGGACGUGUAUUGACGCUGAGGCACGAAAGCGUGGGGAGCAAACAGG
rnacentral:rRNA from 1 species